CCUACGGGAGGCAGCAGUGGGGAAUAUUGGGCAAUGGACGCAAGUCUGACCCAGCAACGCCGCGUGAAGGAAGAAGGCUUUCGGGUUGUAAACCUCUUUUGUCGGGGAGCAAAAGACGCCACGCGUGGCGUUCCGAGAGUACCCGAAGAAAAAGCAUCGGCUAACUCUGUGCCAGCAGCCGCGGAAAUACGGGGGAUGCGAGCGUUAUCAGGAUUUAUUGGGUUUAAGGGGUGCGCAGGCGGAAGAUCAAGUCAGCGGUAAAAUUGAGAGGCUCAACCUCUUCGAGCCGUUGAAACUGGUUUUCUUGAGUGAGUGAGAGGGAUGCGGAAUGCGUGGUGUAGCGGUGAAAUGCAUAGAUAUCACGCAGAACUCCGGUUGCGAAGGCAGCAUGCCGGCGCUCAACUGACGCUCAGGCGCGAAAGUGUGGGUAGCGAACAGGAUUAGAUACCCCGGUAGUC
rnacentral:rRNA from 1 species